CUAGUUUCACGAUAGGCGCCAUCACGACCGAGUCGGUGUUAGGGUCGUGACAGCCUUAUACGAACUGACUUCUGUUCAUUCAUGUGGAAGGCUAAAAAGCCUUAUUCCAAAUAGAGAAACAGAACAUUGUUUCUUUCACGCAACAAGCGCAAAGACUACGAAACAGAGGCAAUGACUCACGCAAUCAACGAAUUUUUUUUUAGUGUUCUUUACAAAUCACAAAUUUUUGAACUCAGGUUUAUAAAAUUCCUUAUUGUCAAUUACCCUAUAGUAGUUAUAGGUAAGAAUUGAAUAGUUAAUUCCCUUCUUCCUCUAUAUCAACAAUAAAUUUCAUGUUUAGGUGUGAAACUUUAAAUUUGAUUAAAAUGCACUGGUUGUUGUAGAAUCGAUUGUUUGACUGGUGUCCAAUUGGGGCAUACAUAUUGGCUCGAGAAGUUUUGAGGUGAGUUGAUAUAACCAUUUUUUAAAGUGGUUAACUCACAAAAGCACGCAUACAAGGUGUUCGAUAAAUUGCUUAAAAGAGCUUAUAUUUACUUAAUUGGAGCGAAUUAACUUAGAAUUGUUCUAGCAAAAGUUUAGAUGAUUUAUUAUGAUAUAUGUGCAUAAAUUUUCAGAUUUUUGUGUUUUCUUAUAUGCUAUUUCUAUGUUGAAAAUUUAUGAAGAAGCAAGAAUCUUUAGAAAUACUUUUAAAUGUUUAUUUCAUUUUUAUGUCAUGCUUUACAUUUAAGGAUAGUAGUAAGAGUAUGUAUUGUUGGAUGUUCCAGAAAAGAUUUAGACUUGAAAAGUCACAAGAAGAAGUUUUAGAAAGAAAAGAUUUUUGGGAGUAUCCUUUAUUCUGAAAAGGGGUCAUCGUUCAGGCCGAGGGUCCUGACCAAGACGUUGACUUCGUGAAACUACUUGUGCCAAAGUAGGGAGCACACGAGCCGAGGGUCUCGUUGCUGAGAAUUUACUUAGCUAAGCUAAGGUAUGAUACAUGAGCGCUGAGAACCAUGAAGCGAAUGACACCUCCUGGAUUGGGCCUAUUCGAUCAGGUUGGGAUCGAACCCAUGUCGAUCACAGAGUGACUAAGACAGAAACAAGUCAGGAUAGUUGGAACUCCCAAAGUAUAAAGUAAAGUAUUUUUUUAUAAGAAAGAAAAAGAAAAGAAUUUCUUUUAGAAUAUUCAUAAACUGCGAUUAUGCAAUUAUUUUAGAGUUGUUCUUAUAAGUUUUAUGCCUUAUAUGCAUUUAGAAUCUUUGCUCGUAAUGUAUAUGUUAUUAAAGUUUCAUCCCCUGUCGUUGAGACUCACUAAGUACAAUGGAUGGUACUGAUGUUCUCUUUUGGGAACCUACGUUGGUCUGCAGUACAAUGUAGGAACCAGUUUUGCAGGUGAGCAGGCUACAGCUUAGGACUUCCCUCCCUUCCAGUGCUAUUGGUGAGCUCCGCUUUUGUUCGUGAAAUAUUUCUUAGAGUCACUUUUAUUUAGUUAUUUUUUUGUUUACUUAGAGAACUGACCAGGAAAUCUCAUGUCCUGAGCAGUGCGUCAGUUUAUCAGUAGAGGCUUCAUAGACACAGUCGGUGGAUUAAGAUUCAGAUGUUUUCGAUAAUAACUUAGCGGUAUUUUAUUGGUUACUACGAAUAAAGUUUUGAAG
rnacentral:lncRNA from 1 species